AUUGAACGCUGGCGGCAUGCCUUACACAUGCAAGUCGAACGGCAGCACGGGAGCAAUCAUGGUGGCGAGUGGCGAACGGGUGAGUAAUAUAUCGGAACGUGCCCAGUCGUGGGGGAUAACGCAGCGAAAGCUGUGCUAAUACCGCAUACGAUCUACGGAUGAAAGUGGGGGAUCGCAAGACCUCGCGCGAUUGGAGCCGCCGAAAUCGGAUUAGCUGGUUGGUGGGGUAAAAGCCCACCAAGGCGACGAUCUGUAGGUGGUCUGAGAGGACGACCAGCGACACUGGAGAUGAGACACCGUCCAGACUCCUACGGGAGGCAGCGGUGAGGAAUUUUGGACAAUGGGCGCAAGCCUGAUCCAGCAAUGCCGCGUGCAGGAUGAAGGCCUUCGGGUUGUAAACUGCUUUUGUACGGAACGAAACGGCGAGCUCUAAUACAGUUUGCUAAUGACGGUACCGUAAGAAUAAGCACCGGCUAACUACGUGCCAGCCGCCGCCGUAA
rnacentral:rRNA from 1 species